AGCAGUGACAUCGCCUACAAAAGCCGCGUCCCGACUGGAUUUCGCCAGUGGGCAUGGUAGCGCAUCUCGGAGCAUGACGACUAAAUGGCUCUUCCUGAUUACGCAGCAGACAUGUAU